rnacentral:snRNA from 1 species
GUGCUCCCUUUGGCAGCACAUAUACUAAAACUGGAACGAUGCAAAAAACCCCCCAAAAAACCAGCACGGCCCGUGUGCAAGAUUAACAUGCAAAUCCAUGGAGCGGUUCACAUUUUU